GUGGGGAAUCUUCCGCAAUGGACGAAAGUCUGACGGAGCAACGCCGCGUGAGUGAAGAAGGUUUUCGGAUCGUAAAGCUCUUUCGUUAGGGACGAACGUGCUCUUUGUGAAUAAUGAGGAGUAAUGACGGUACCUAAAUAAGAAGCCACGGCUAACUACGUGCCAGCAGCCGCGGUAAUACGUAGGUGGCAAGCGGUGUCCGGAAUUAUUGGGCGUAAAGCGCGCGCAGGCGGGAUAUCAAGUCUGUCUUAAAAGUGCGAGGCUCAACCUCGUGAGGGGACAGAAACUGGUAUUCUUGAGUGUCGGAGAGGAAAGUGGAAUUCCAAGUGUAGCGGUGAAAUGCGUAGAGAUUUGGAAGAACACCAGUGGCGAAGGCGACUUUCUGGACGAUGUCUGACGCUGAGGCGCGAAAGCUAGGGGAGCGAACGGGAUUAGAAACCCGUGUAGUCC
rnacentral:rRNA from 1 species